GGAGAUCUGACAGAUCGACUGUGGUGGAAUCUCGUCUGAUCUCGGAAGUCAAGCAAUCUCGGGAUUGGUUAGUACUUGGAUGGGUGACCGCUUGGGAAUACCAAGUGUGAUAAGCA
rnacentral:rRNA from 1 species